GAACAGGAGAUUUGGAUCAAUUAGAAUAGAAAAUCCAACUGAGAUUGAACAUAGGGCAUGCUGUCUGGUUACCUUGGCAACUUAGCUCCCCUUCCUGGGCUACUGUUGGUUCAGCGUGAGUCAGGAAAUAAUUGGAGGUAGAGAGGCAUGUGUGCGAGUUAACUCCUACUACUGGGAAGGUGAGGGAGGCAUUUGCUGAAGGCCAAGGAUGACGUCAUAAAGGGAAGGUUGUGAAUAAACAAAAAUGAGAGCAAUGUCAUUUAAACAAUAUCCUCCCUGAGGCCUGGCUUUUAUAUCCUAAGGUGAUACGAAAACUUCUAAGGGAGAAAAGCAAGCAAUAAUCCUAUCCAGCUGUCCACACAGAAGGAAGGACAUGGGCUGGCCUGCUGUCCACACAGAAGGAAGGACAUGGGCUGGCCUGCUGUCCACACAGAAGGAAGGACAUGGGCUGGCUUGCCAGGGGCUGAUUUAAACUGAUAGAAGCUGAGGACACCUGGCCUCGAACUCCCAGACAUCUGUCUGUGUCUGCCUCCCCAAGUGUUGGGAUCAAAGACUUGCACUGCCACCCCAGGCCUGAUUCACUGUCUUUUAAAAUAGGGCGUUUGUGUCAUGAAAAUAUGAAGAAAGAAGCACCCAUCCAGAAUGGCUGGAGAAUUUCUGUAGAAAGUGCACAGAUAUGUUCUCCUCAACUCCUGUAGUGAUUUUGUUUGCUGCCCGACGUUCUUCUGAAUCUUAUCUGCUCUGCUGAUGGCAUGAAGCGUCACAAUUCUACAGAUAUAAAUGGACGAUGGGCCGAGAACUCGUCUCAGGCGCAGGGGUGUCUUAUGGCGUUCACUGGGACCGAUCUUCCCACUGAGGAAUUUUUCCCUGGGAGACUUUGUCUUAGUUGAGGGUUCCAGUCCUGCGAUGAAACACCAUAACCAAAAAGUAAAUUG